rnacentral:rRNA from 1 species
CCCUUAGAUGUUCUGGGCCGCACGCGCGCUACACUGACGAUGUCAACGAGUCUCUCCUUGGCCGAAAGGUCUGGGUAAUCUUCUGAAACAUCGUCGUGCUGGGGAUAGAUCAUUGCAAUUUUUGAUCUUGAACGAGGAAUUCCUAGUAAGCGCGAGUCAUCAGCUCGCGUUGAUUACGUCCCUGCCCUUUGUACACACCGCCCGUCGCUACUACCGAUUGAAUGGUUUAGUGAGGACUCCCGAUUGGCGCCGCCGCCCCGGCAACGGAGCAGUGGACUGCCGAAAAGUUGUUCAAACUUGAUCAUUUAGAGGAAGUAAAAGUCGUAACA